AAUUAAAACAAAACGCACUCCAAAAACUAUAUCUAGCACGCAAGAUGACACAAAAAGUGAAAAAAAAAAAAGAGUUAGCACACGAGCAACUAUUAAAGAAAAAAAUAUCACGCUGAAUUCAACGAAUAAAAUUAAAAAAACAUCCAAAUCAGAAAAAAGUGAUAGUAAAUUACAAAAUACACCUAAAUCAAAAAAAACUGACAAAAAUCGUUCCAAAAAUAAUACAAAUUCCGAACAAGAUCAACAACAUAUGAAUUUAGCUAUAUCAAAUAAUGAGAGCAAAUCACAAAAAAAAAAAAAUACAAUUGACGAUGAUGCAGAAAAAA